rnacentral:tRNA from 1 species
AGUAGGGUGCCUGAAUAAAGGGUUACUUUGAUAGGGUAAAUUAUGAUUUAAGAUCCUUUACUU